rnacentral:rRNA from 1 species
CAGCCACAUUGGGACUGAGAGACGGCCCAGACUCCUACGGGAGGCAGCAGUGGGGAAUCUUGCGCAAUGGUCGAGAGACUGACGCAGCGACGCCGCGUGUGGGAGGACGCCUUUCGGGGUGUAAACCACUGUUGCCCGGGACGAACUCGCUCUUUCGAGGGCGUUGACGGUACCGGGUGAGGAAGCACCGGCUAACUCCGUGCCAGCAGCCGCGGUAAUACGGAGGGUGCGAGCGUUGUCCGGAAUCAUUGGGCGUAAAGGGCGCGUAGGUGGCCCGGUGAGUCUUUGGUGAAAGCGCGGGGCUCAACCCUGCGUCGGCCAGGGAUACUGCCGCGGCUCGAGCACUGUAGAGGCAGGCGGAAUUCCGGGUGUAGCGGUGGAAUGCGUAGAGAUCCGGAAGAACACCGGUGGCGAAGGCGGCCUGCUGGGCAGUUUAGCUGACACUGAGGCGCGACAGCGUGGGGAGCAAACAGGAUUAGAUACCCUGGUAGUCCACGCCGUAAACGAUGGGCACUAGGCGCUUGGGGGAGCGACCCCUCGAGGGCCGGCGCUAACGCAUUAAGUGCCCCGCCUGGGGAGUACGGCCGCAAGGCUGAAACUCAAAGGAAUU